rnacentral:misc_RNA from 1 species
GAUGAAGAACGUAGCGAAAUGCGAUAAGUAAUGUGAAUUGCAGAAUUCAGUGAAUCAUCGAAUCUUUGAACGCACAUUGCGCCCCCCAGUAUUCUGGCGGGCAUGCCUGUUCGAGCGUCAUUUCAACCAUCAAGCCCUGCUUGUGUUGGGGUCCUGCGGCUGCCCGCAGGCCCUGAAAACCAGUGGCGGGCUCGCUAGUCACACCGAGCGCAGUAGCACAUCUCGCUCAGGGCGUGCGGCGGGCUCCAGCCGUUAAAGCACCCACCUUUCGCAAGGUUGACCUCGGAUCAGGUAGGAAUACCCGCUGAACUUAAGCAUAUCAAAGCGGAGGA